rnacentral:rRNA from 1 species
CAACCUACCCUCCGGACGGGUAUAAACCCGGGAAACUGGGUAUAAUCCCCGAUAGAUCUCGGUCGCUGGAAUGCCCCGAGAUCGAAAGCUCCGGCGCCAGAGGAUGGGUCUGCGGCCUAUCAGGUAGUAGUGGGUGUAGCGUACCUACUAGCCUACGACGGGUACGGGUUGUGAGAGCAAGAGCCCGGAGAUGGAUUCUGAGACACGAAUCCAGGCCCUACGGGGUGCAGCAGGCGCGAAAACUUUACAAUGCCGGCAACGGCGAUAAGGGGACCUCGAGUGCCAGGUUACAAAUCUGGCUGUCGUGAUGCCUAAAAAGCAUUGCAUAGCAAGGGCCGGGCAAGACCGGUGCC